AAUGGAAUUGCUGUGUCAUAUGGUAACUGUAUGUUUAACUAUUUCAGGAACUACCAGACUAUUUUCCAUAGUGGUUAUAUCAUUUUAUGUUUUAACUAACAAU
rnacentral:pre_miRNA from 1 species